rnacentral:rRNA from 1 species
UCAGUCGACUCCUACGGGGAGGCAGCAGUGGGGAAUUUUGGACAAUGGGGGCAACCCUGAUCCAGCCAUUCCGCGUGAGUGAAGAAGGCCUUCGGGUUGUAAAGCUCUUUCACAAGAGAAGAAACGGCAUAGGUUAAUAGCUUAUGGUUAAUGACGGUACCUUGAGAAGAAGCACCGGCUAACUACGUGCCAGCAGCCGCGGUAAUACGUAGGGUGCGAGCGUUAAUCGGAAUUACUGGGCGUAAAGCGUGCGCAGGCGGUUUGGUAAGUCAGAUGUGAAAUCCCCGAGCUCAACUUGGGAACUGCGUUUGAAACUACCAGACUAGAAUAUGUCAGAGGGGGGUAGAAUUCCACGUGUAGCAGUGAAAUGCGUAGAGAUGUGGAGGAAUACCAAUGGCGAAGGCAGCCCCCUGGGAUAAUAUUGACGCUCAUGCACGAAAGCGUGGGGAGCGAACAGGAUUAGAUACCCUGGUAG